CCUUCCAAGCAGUUGACCCGGGUU
rnacentral:piRNA from 8 species